GCCAACCAACAAAAUAACCUAGAUACAAAAAUAAAACAGAAAAAUAGAUAAAAAAAAAUCGUAGUUUGAUCAUUAUUCAUUUCGACGGUUCAAGUCCCUAGGAAACAAUUUCCAAAAACCAUUAAACCAUCAUAUGUUUCCUCUUUCUUUUCCCAACUCGAGAUGCAUCCAACAGUCAAGCUUCAAUUUGGUUCUCUUCCCUUUCGCGAUCCAACCUUCGAUGCGUCGUGCUCAAGCAGUCCUCCAAUAAGUGACGUCAGGUUAGCUCGGGGUUGGAAAUCGUCGGAGGCAGCAUACACUAUCAAGCCAACACCUUGAGAGUAUAAACAAAUAUGCUAGAAUUAUCAAAUUAUCAGAAGCUCGAUUUGGUUGGAAGCUCAUCGAAGAUCUAUCACACUAUCCAAAAAUCUUUUCAGUAGUUUUUGAGUAUUUUGGCCAAGGAUUAUAAUGGCAUGUAUAACAGGGGUUGCACGGGUGAGGACGUAGACUGGGACAGACCGUAUGUCCCUAGUUCGAAGGUUACACUAGAGUCACACGGGUGAGGACAUAGACUGGGACAGACCGUAUGUCCCUAGUUCGAAGGUUACACUGCCUGAGACACGGCCAUGUGUCUCAACCAUGUGAGACACACGAUCGUGUGACCCCUAUUUUGCAAAUUUUGCAUCUUUUUCCUAAACUUUCCAAAUUGUUUCAAAUUGGUCCCAAAUUAUUUCUAAGUUAUUUUUACGGCCCCAAGGCUCGAUUUAGGGACAAUAUGGAUGUGUAUGAAUGAUUUAUGAUGUGAUUAUAAUAUUGAAUGAUAUAAUA